CCUACGGGUGGCUGCAGUGGGGAAUAUUGGACAAUGGGCGAAAGCCUGAUCCAGCCAUGCCGCGUGUGUGAAGAAGGCCUUCGGGUUGUAAAGCACUUUCAGUGGGGAAGAAAGCCUUGGGGCUAAUACCCUCGAGGAAGGACAUCACCCACAGAAGAAGCACCGGCUAACUCCGUGCCAGCAGCCGCGGUAAUACGGAGGGUGCGAGCGUUAAUCGGAAUUACUGGGCGUAAAGCGCGCGUAGGCGGUCUGAUAAGCCGGUUGUGAAAGCCCCCGGGCUCAACCUGGGAACGGCAUCCGGAACUGUCAGGCUAGAGUGCAGGAGAGGAAGGUAGAAUUCCCGGUGUAGCGGUGAAAUGCGUAGAGAUCGGGAGGAAUACCAGUGGCGAAGGCGGCCUUCUGGACUGACACUGACGCUGAGGUGCGAAAGCGUGGGUAGCAAACAGGAUUAGAUACCCUAGUAGUC
rnacentral:rRNA from 1 species